GACGAACGCUGGCGGCGUGCUUAACACAUGCAAGUGGAGCGACGAACCAGGCUUCGGCCUGGGGCAGAGCCGCGAACGGGUGAGUAACACGUGGGUAACCUGCCCUGAUGAUCGGGACAACCCGGGGAACCCGGCUAAUACCGAAUGUGCCCGCGAGCCGCAAGGCUUGCGAGGAAAGGAAGCUUCGGCCUCCGCAUCGGGAUGGGCCCGCGGCCCAUUAGCUUGUUGGUGGGGUAACGCCUACCAAGGCAGCAAUGGGUAGCUGGUCUGAGAGGACGAUCAGCCACACUGGGACUGAGACACGGCCCAGACUCCUACGGGAGGCAGCAGUAGGGAAUCUUGCGCAAUGGGCGCAAGCCUGAUCCAGCCAUGCCGCGUGGGUGAAG
rnacentral:rRNA from 1 species